AUUGAACGCUGGCGGCAUGCCUUACACAUGCAAGUCGAACGGUAACAGGUCUUCGGAUGCUGACGAGUGGCGAACGGGUGAGUAAUACAUCGGAACGUGCCUAGUAGUGGGGGAUAACUACUCGAAAGAGUGGCUAAUACCGCAUGAGAUCUACGGAUGAAAGCAGGGGAUCGCAAGACCUUGUGCCACUAGAGCGGCCGAUGGCAGAUUAGGUAGUUGGUGGGAUAAAAGCUUACCAAGCCGACGAUCUGCAGCUGGUCUGAGAGGACGAUCAGCCACACUGGGACUGAGACACGGCCCAGACUCCUACGGGAGGCAGCAGUGGGGAAUUUUGGACAAUGGGCGAAAGCCUGAUCCAGCAAUGCCGCGUGCAGGAUGAAGGCCUUCGGGUUGUAAACUGCUUUUGUACGGAACGAAAAGCCCUGGGUUAAUACCCUGAGGUCAUGACGGUACCGUAAGAAUAAGCACCGGCUAACUACGUGCCAGCCGCCGCGGUAA
rnacentral:rRNA from 1 species